rnacentral:rRNA from 1 species
AGAGUUUGAUCCUGGCUCAGGAUGAACGCUGGCGGCGUGCUUAACACAUGCAAGUCGAACGGGAAUGCCACGCUGAUGCGAUUUCGGUCAAAUCAUGUGGCAUUCGAGUGGCGGACGGGUGAGUAACGCGUGGGUAACCUGCCUUACACAGGGGGAUAACACCUGGAAACAGGUGCUAAUACCGCAUAAGCGCACAGGGCCGCAUGGCCCGGUGUGAAAAACUCCGGUGGUGUAAGAUGGACCCGCGUCUGAUUAGCUUGUUGGCGGGGUAGGGGCCCACCAAGGCGACGAUCAGUAGCCGGCCUGAGAGGGUGGACGGCCACAUUGGGACUGAGACACGGCCCAAACUCCUACGGGAGGCAGCAGUGGGGGAUAUUGGACAAUGGGGGAAACCCUGAUCCAGCGACGCCGCGUGAGUGAAGAAGUAUUUCGGUAUGUAAAGCUCUGUCAGCAGGGAAGAAAGAAAUGACGGUACCUGACCAAGAAGCCCCGGUAACUACGUGCCAGCAGCCGCGGUAAUACGUAGGGGGCAAGCGUUAUCCGGAAUUACUGGGUGUAAAGGGAGCGUAGACGGUGGUGCAAGUCUGGAGUGAAAGGCGGGGGCCCAACCCCCGGACUGCUCUGGAAACUGUGUAACUUGAGUGCAGGAGAGGUAAGCGGAAUUCCUAGUGUAGCGGUGAAACGCGUAGAUAUUAGGAGGAACACCAGUGGCGAAGGCGGCUUACUGGACUGUAACUGACGUUGAGGCUCGAAAGCGUGGGGAGCAAACAGGAUUAGAUACCCUGGUAGUCCACGCCGUAAACGAUGAUUACUAGG